GGUUGGCACCACCAGCACCCAGCAGCCCCAUUAACCCCCUGGUUAUCCAUCCACACGUCAACCUGAACACUUUCUCCUGCCCACAGCAGACAUCGUCAGCAAAGGGCCUCAUCUGCUUGUCAUAGCUGCAGCCUGGAAGGGGAAGGAAGGCACAAAGGAGUCAGAAGCAGACAGGGCAGCACAAGCACAGCUCUCAGGGGCACAGUGAAGAUGUGAACAGAGAGCAGCCAACAUUCAGGUGCCGAUAUGCAGUGUCUUCCCCUUGAAAUAGAGCCAAUAUAAAGGCAAAAACAAUCAGAGUCCAAAAUGAAGCAGAAAGACUUCUUCAGAUCUCUGUGCAGCACAUAUCAUUGCCUAGAUGCCAUAAUUUAUAUCCUCUCUACCUUGUUUCUGCAUCCUGUAUCAAAACCCCUCUGGAUGGGAAGCUGUAAUUGGGAGCUCUGGGUGAAUGCAGCCCAUGUCCUUCAUACUCCCAUGUAAAGCCAUCAGUGCCCACAGACAUUUUGCUGAUGCUUAGGGCAGAAGGGUGUUCUGAGCUGACAGACUCUGCAUUAUUACAGUCGUAAACCACUCUCAAAGAAGAGGUUCCCUGGGUUUGCCCAUUUUCUCUCCCA